rnacentral:rRNA from 1 species
AGAGUUUGAUCCUGGCUCAGAUUGAACGCUGGCGGCAGGCCUAACACAUGCAAGUCGAGCGGUAGAGAGAAGCUUGCUUCUCUUGAGAGCGGCGGACGGGUGAGUAAUGCCUAGGAAUCUGCCUGGUAGUGGGGGAUAACGUUCGGAAACGGACGCUAAUACCGCAUACGUCCUAAGGGAGAAAGCAGGGGACCUUCGGGCCUUGCGCUAUCAGAUGAGCCUAGGUCGGAUUAGCUAGUUGGUGGGGUAAUGGCUCACCAAGGCGACGAUCCGUAACUGGUCUGAGAGGAUGAUCAGUCACACUGGAACUGAGACACGGUCCAGACUCCUACGGGAGGCAGCAGUGGGGAAUAUUGGACAAUGGGCGAAAGCCUGAUCCAGCCAUGCCGCGUGUGUGAAGAAGGUCUUCGGAUUGUAAAGCACUUUAAGUUGGGAGGAAGGGCAGUAAAUUAAUACUUUGCUGUUUUGACGUUACCGACAGAAUAAGCACCGGCUAACUCUGUGCCAGCAGCCGCGGUAAUACAGAGGGU